rnacentral:rRNA from 1 species
UACGUAGGUGGCAAGCGUUAUCCGGAUUUAUUGGGCGUAAAGGGAACGCAGGCGGUCUUUUAAGUCUGAUGUGAAAGCCUUCGGCUUAACCGGAGCAGUGCAUUGGAAACUGGAAGACUUGAGUGCAGAAGAGGAGAGUGGAACUCCAUGUGUAGCGGUGAAAUGCGUAGAUAUAUGGAAGAACACCAGUGGCGAAAGCGGCUCUCUGGUCUGUAACUGACGCUGAGGUUCGAAAGCGUGGGUAGCAAACAGG